AACGAACGCUGGCGGCAUGCCUAACACAUGCAAGUCGAACGAGACCUUCGGGUCUAGUGGCGCACGGGUGCGUAACGCGUGGGAACAUGCCCUUAGGUUCGGAAUAACUCCCCGAAAGGGGUGCUAAUACCGGAUAAUGUCUUCGGACCAAAGAUUUAUCGCCUUUGGCUGGGCCCGCGUUGGAUUAGCUAGUUGGUAGGGUAAAAGCCUACCAAGGCGACGAUCCAUAGCUGGUCUGAGAGGAUGAUCAGCCACACUGGGACUGAGACACGGCCCAGACUCCUACGGGAGGCAGCAGUGGGGAAUAUUGGACAAUGGGCGAAAGCCUGAUCCAGCAAUGCCGCGUGAGUGAUGAAGGCCUUAGAGUUGUAAAGCUCUUUUACCCGGGAUGAUAAUGACAGUACCGGGAGAAUAAGCUCCGGCUAACUCCGUG
rnacentral:rRNA from 1 species